rnacentral:lncRNA from 1 species
AACUCUUAGGGUCACCUGGAGCACCUUGGGAGCCAGAGAUGCAGCCAAAGAGUGAACAAUGGUACCAAUCCCAAGACCCAUGUGUUAAGAAGAAACCAGCCAAGACUCAGAUCAGGAUUGGGGAGUCCACCCCUCGUUUCCCUUCAGAGCAUUAUUUCCUUGUUUGCUAAGAGGGGCAGGAACUGGAAAACUCAGGCUAGCCCAUCUGAGAAGACUUUCCUGGAGAUGAGCUGGAGGAGGGAGGAGUAAGGCCUUGGAAGGAAACUCCAGGACAGUACCUGGUUGUAGAGAGCAGCUCUGUGAGUAGAAGGAGAAGGAUCCUGCCCUGGAGAGGGCCUGGCUGGUCCUCACCUGGGGCCUAUCAUUUAGUAACAGGGCUUCUGGAAGUGGUAGCAGAUCUGGGCCUGGUGGGCAUUCUGCUUCUCCUGGGUGGCAGCAGAAGUCCCUAGGUGGCAGGCUGGGGACUGCCCAAAGGUUCUGACUCAGGAAGAGCACAGUGGAACAGAAAGCCCUUGUACCACCUUCGCUGCUGUAUUCGUCCAUUCUCACACUGCUGUACAGAACUACCUGAGACUGGGGAAUUCAUGAAGAGAAGAAGUUUAAUUGACUCACAGUUCUGCGGGCUUAACAGGAAGCAUGACUGGGAGGCCUCAGGAAGCUUAUAAUCAUGGCAGAAGGCGAAGGGGAAGCAAGGACCUUCUUCACAUGGCAGCAGGAGAAAGAGAAGAAGGGAGAAGUCUACACACUUUUAAACAACCAGAUCUCAUGAGAAUUCCAUCGGGAGACAGCACUAGGGGGAUGGCACUAAACCAUUAGAAACUGCCCCCAUGAUCCAAUCACCUCUCACCAGGCCCCUCCUCCAACACGUGGGGAUUACAAUUCCACAUGAGAUUUGGUUGGGGACAUAGAGCCAAAUCCUAUCAGCUGGUAUCCUCCUUUUUCCAGGCUUUAGAUAUGGCACAACCUGAUGGCUUCUGCAUAAAGCCUCCUCUCAUCUGCAUCUCUCCACCUCACUCACCCUCUUUUCAGCAAAGAACCCUCUGGCUCUAGUUUCACUGUGGUGGUCCUGGGAGAGGUAGAGAAGACCCAGAGGCUCCUUACCCUGGGAGGUCAAACUGACCAUCCAGGUUUGGCUCUUCCCUGCUGGUGGUGACUGGACACAUUUUUACUGCCCGAAGUCAUCUACUGCCCCCACCCCCCAACCCCAUUCUUCUGCCCACUUAGCGAAUAUUGAGGUUAUGGUCAGGAUGGGGUCAUUUGCAAUGAAAUUCAAGGUUGAGACUAUGUUGCAGUUAUCUGUCUGCUUGUAAAAAGUCACCCCCACAUUUUGUUUAAAACAGCAAGUAUGUACUAUUUCACACAGUUUCUGUGGGUCAGGAAUCCAGAAGCGGCUGAGAUGGGUAGUUUAGGAUCAGGGUCUCUCACAAGGCUUUGGUCCAGGUGCAGGCUGCAGUCCUCCAGAGGCGGGACUGGGGCUGGAGGUCUGCUUCCAGACGGUCACUCACAUGGAUGUGGGCAGGCGGCCUCAGUUCCCUGCCACAUGGCCCUCCUCAUAGGACGCUUGAGUGUCCUCGCGGCAUAGCAGCUGGCUUUCCCCAGAGUGACCCAAGGUGGAAAGAACAAGGCAGAGGUGACAGUGUCUUUUAUAAGCCAGCCUUGGAAGUGACGUAGCAUCAUUUCUGCCUUAUUCCAUUGGUCACACAGACAACCCGAUGUGGAAGGAGACAUCACAAGGACAGGAAUACUGGGAAGCAGGUAUUGUUGGUGGCUGUCUCGGACGCUGGUUCUCAUAGAAGUAGAUGUAUUAUUUUAGUACAAUAAGUGCAGACGAUCAGCUAGCAGGAUGUUAUUUUUGCUGGAGGUCUCCAUCAGCAGAUUGCCCAACAGAACAAGUUCAGAGCCCAGAGAUCCCAGUUCCAGAUCUCAGAUCUCCCACACCCUGUGGGCUCUGUGUGGACUUUCGUCCUGAAACAAAGUCCUUUAGUAAAGGACUCUUUAAAUUCACUCCAUCUGUGCUUUGCUUGCCAAUAGCAGGGUGCGUCUGUUACAUACUGGACUAUCCCUUCCUUCAAUAUGUUCAUGGCUGAGGCUGCAUUUGUGCCUCAGAUAAUCAAGGUGAGUAUAACUCUCUGUUCUGUUUCCCUUUUGUUUCCUCCAAGACUUUAAUAAACCCUCAUUCAAGAGGCCCACCUUGUCCCACCUGUGCUUCUCAGAAAAGAAGGAGUGGUGGGGAGACAGGCUGGGGUGGGGGCUUUGCCACCUGGCUGCCCCUUCACCUGUGGGUUCUUGCUCCAAUGAGGACCCAGCAGGAUAAGCUUUAGUUUCAUUAAGGGUGACAAUAGUUUCCUUACAGCUGGGUCAAGGAUAUGAGCGAGCCUCUUCCGAAAACAGCCGGGAAGGGAGAGGAAUCCAAGAGGAGGAGCAGGUGGGAAAGACAAGACAGAAGGUGGAUCGGGACCAGGCCUGGGAGGGAGCACAGGCACACAGAAGUGAAAGAAUUCGCCUGAGGUUACACGACUCCUCGAGCGGUGCCUUUAGCUCUGCAUUGUGCCAGGCUCACCCCCAGCUAGAUGGUGGGUCAAGAAGCCCUUGAGAAAGAUGGAGAUCCUUCUUGUUUUUGCUGGAAAGGUGAGUGUGGAAGGUCAGCUACGUUUUAUACCCCCGGUACCUAAGUGGCCUCUAGUAGGGGUGCAUAUUCAGCAUGGAGCACAGGUUCCCACAGAGCAAUGCCGUCCUGUUGGCUGAGGUCUGGGGAGAGGGGGCAGGCCUGGAGAGUGCCGAUUCUGGCCCCUGGGCAGGCAGGGUUCUCUGGGUACUCCUUGCACCCUGGCCUCAGAGGCCUUGGCUACCACUGUUGUUUCUUUCUUUCUGUCCUCCAUGCAAACUCAGGUCAGUUAUAUCACAGUCCUUCACAGGGCGCCUGGAUUUGCCCACCAGAUCUCCUCACCUCUUGCCCUUCACCUCCUGCUGUACCUACAAGGUCUCCCCGAUUCUCAUCUGCCCAUAAUCAUGGACACAGCCCCAGGAUGUGCAGGGUGAGUCCCCAGGGACCCUGAAAGCAUGGGUACUCUUAUGACUGAGGGCGUUACACCAGGGAGAGGGAGCCGGGGAGACUUCCCAGAGAGCUGGUUGGGGGUUAUGAAAGUGGCCUCACGGCUGAUGCGGUGGCUAACACCUGUAGUCGAGCUCCCACCCUCUUGGAAAUGCCUCUGAAGCUGCAUAGUCCUCCCCUGAUGCUUGUGCUCCCUUAGGGGAUCUCCAGGCCUUUGGGUGUGGUCUGGCCCCUGGAGAAGUGUGGUCGAGUGGAGGAUGGGGUCCUGCAGUGGCCAUGUUCUGGACGCCCACAUCACGGGGAGUUUUGAGGGAUUGAGCCCACUUUAGCUUGGGUCUUAAAACCACCAUGGUAAGAAGUGUCAACCUUUGGGGGAAAAAUAAAAAUAUAUAGAAAUAUUUAGAAAAACCCACCAUGGGGGCCUACAAGUUCCUGAGUCAAGGCCUCUGCCGAGACUCCACUGACCAGCAUGGUCACUGAAGGGCAUGGAGGACCGUCCUGUGGGAAGAGGCUUGGACAUGCACUGUGAACUCAAGAGCAAGGACACUGUGUUGAUCUGGAGAUGUGGGCAAUGGGCGAGUACACACGGAGCAUCCUCCUGUGCCUUGGAAUGGGACAAGGUGGAUUCCAGCAGCCCUCAGAGCUUCUGCUGGGUGGCUUUGCAAAGAAGGGGCUUUCCACUCUACUGUGGACAUCUGCAGAGAUUGGG